CUGUCAUAUAAAUUGACUGAAGCAGGCUGACAGUCAAUAUUUGAAACCAAUACCCAGUGAUGAGUACCUGUGUGGAGAAUCUGGAAAAAAGUACCCCGAUGUACAGAAAAAUUGGUAACAGGGCCAAGUGUUGUGUUUUCUAAACCAAGUACGACAGGAAAUUGUUUCUGCAAAACAUUAUGUGCAGCACCAAUGAUGUGAUCUGUUAACUCUUUUCUGACGUGCAACCUAUUCGAUCAACUGUUAAAAAUGGAGAUUCCGUGUACGACUUCAGUAGUUUAUCAAAUGACCAAAAUGGAAAGUUCUUGAAAAUCGCAAAGAAGUGCUUACAUGGCAACCUGUGUCUUUCCCAGUCAUAACAAUCACAGCUUGGAAAAUCACCUGGAUCACUUCCAAACGACAAUGUAUAAAACUUGCAUAUGCCGUCUUGACUACGAACUUUGAAAAUUCCAUGCAUUUCGUCAAAAACCAUGAUGUGUGAUGCAAGGGUAUCUUCUGACGAUGCAAGUCUUUCCAUACAAUGCCUAAUCAUAGAGUGUGGUCUUUCGUGAAGGUAUGACGGGACAUCAUAAUUGUACUGCCUGUAAUUGCUCUGCAAUUUCGUAUUUAAUUCGACGUAUCUGUAAAAUUAGACAAGAAUUUCCAACGUUGUUGCUGCUAAAAUACUAGCGCUAACAGCAGCAGCGAAUUCCCCAGCCCGUUUUUUGUACCUCUACAAAUCAUAUAUUUUUGUGUUUAAUCAAUGGAAAGACAAUGAAUGGCAUCGAAUUUCUAAAGAAAUGAACAAUAAUUUUGCUGAGAAAUCUGGUUUGUUGGAGGAAAAAAUCGGGCUGGCUUUGCCAUCGCCUAAGAGACUUGUUCAAGUAAAUAAAAAGAAAAAAAUAAGUACUUGAAAUAAAGGUCGGGCAAAAAGUCUUCAAUUAGCACUGUCAGCAUGACGCUCAACGUUGAACUCUUGUAGCCAUCCAAAUAUUCAUGCUUGAAAGCUUUGUUUUGCCUUUCCACGCCAUUAUUUGUGUUUAUGACUGUUAGCAGUCGAUCUUUUCGAAAGGUCCACACCCAUUUCUAUAAAUUUUGUCCGCGCGAGAAAAUUAACGAAAUCAACAUGUAUUGUAAUUAUUGAUGAGCACUGUAAGAAUGAUAUUAUUAGCAAAUUAUAAAAUUCUCUUGCCUUGUAUUGGGAUAA